AAAAACUACAUCGGAUGGUGACGAAUACCUUGAGAUUGUUUUAAACCACUCAGGACUGAACAGCUCACACAACUGUUACAUGUUUUCACGGUCUCCUCCAGCUGCUGUCUCCACCCUGUGGCUUGUAUCAGUGCUUGCGGCCUCAUUUUUGUUUUCUUUAACUGUUUAGUAAGAACAGUUUCCUGAGUGCUAUCAUCUACAGUACUGCUUUGUUUAUUCAUUUCACAAUUUGUUGGCACUUUAUUUGGCAGAUUGUAGUAUCUAUCAAAUAAAGUUUUAAAGUAGGCUGCCAAAAUAUAAUCAAAUAUUAUUUUCUGCUUCUGUCAUAUGUUAUGAAUUACAGACCCAAUUCACAUAUAUUAUUUAUGCAUGUGUUUAUUAUUUCUUGUACUUGUGUACUUUAAAAGAAUGACAUCAAAUGAGAGAUGGGAAUUACUUGCAGCUGUUCCAGGCUGAAUUCAGACUGUUGUGGAGCUUUAAUCCAAGUGUGUCUGAGUGUUUCCAGGAUUUUUUUUAAUGGGCUGUCACGAGAGGACUAAAAACAAGGCAGAGUGGCACAUAGAAAAUCCAAAUAGUUGAGAAAUUUUGUUUUUAGGUUCAGAAAAUUGGUGUAGACCAUGCUGGGUUAAAUUUUCAGGCUCAUGUGCAGCCACAGCCAAUGUCACAUGUAAAUAACUAUGAGUCUGACAGAUGAACUGAAUCUUUGAACCAAAAAAAUAUAAUUUAGAAUCUUAGGUAUCAGUUUUCUGUCUUUUUUUAAUUAAUCUGUGAACUCAUCCAUUUUUACAUUUUCGUCAGUGAACAUUUUCUAAGUUGAAUAUUGUUUACAACUUCCUUCAGUGUGUAUAUAUCUGUAAAUUACUAGCUCACAAGUUUUAGAAUGCUUUUUUAGUCGUUACAGUCAGCAAUGCUCUCCCUCUCAAACUGCUUCUAAAGACACCACGCCUCAAGGAUUCCUUCUGUUUCCCUAUCAAAUAAACAACAUGCAAAAAUCAAAA